AACGGUCUAUACCUGCGGUACCUGCGGAAGGAUCAUUAACGAGUGUAACUUACCCUUUUUUUUAAAAGAGGGUAGUACCUCCUGUCCUUUGUAGGCCCCUUUUUAUUGGGGGGCUUUUUAAGACUUUCUGCUUCGGCGGGGUUAUUCCCGCCGGAACACCCUCAAAAAACUCUUCAAAAACUAAUUCAGUCCGAGAAUUUUUGAAAAUAAAAAAAACUUUUAACAACGGAUCUCUAGAUC
rnacentral:misc_RNA from 1 species